rnacentral:rRNA from 1 species
GGAAACUGAGGAUAAUACUGGAUAGGCAAUUUUUCCUGCAAUGGUUUUUUGUUUAAAUGUUUUUUCGCCUAAGGAUGGGUCUGCGGCCGAUUAGGUAGUUGGUUAGGUAGCGGCUUACCAAGCCAUUGAUCGGUACGGGUUGUGAGAGCAAGAGCCCGGAGAUGGAACCUGAGACAAGGUUCCAGGCCCUACGGGGUGCAGCAGGCGCGAAACCUCCGCAAUGUGAGAAAUCGCGACGGGGGGAUCCCAAGUGCCAUUCUUAACGGGAUGGCUUUUCAUUAGUGUAAAGAGCUUUUGGAAUAAGGGCUGGGCAAGACCGGUGCCAGCCGCCGCGGUAACACCGGCAGCUCUAGUGGUAGCAGUUUUUAUUGGGCCUAAAGCGUCCGUAGCCGGUUUAAUAAGUCUCUGGUGAAAUCCUGUAGCUUAACUGUGGGAAUUGCUGGAGAUACUAUUAGACUUGAGACCGGGAGAGGUUAGAGGUACUCCCAGGGUAGAGGUGAAAUUCUGUAAUCCUGGGAGGACCGCCUGUUGCGAAGGCGUCUAACUGGAACGGUUCUGACGGUGAGGGACGAAAGUUAGGGGCGCGAACCGGAUUAGAUACCCGGGUAGUCCUAACCGUAAACGAUGCGGACUUGGUGUUGGGGUGGCUUUGAGCUGCUUCAGUGCCGAAGGGAAGCUGUUAAGUCCGCCGCCUGGGAAGUACGGUCGCAAGACUGAAACUUA